rnacentral:rRNA from 1 species
UUAAGUGACUAAGCGUACACGGUGGAUGCCUAGGCAGUCAGAGGCGAUGAAGGGCGUGCUAAUCUGCGAAAAGCGUCGGUAAGGUGAUAUGAACCGUUAUAACCGGCGAUACCCGAAUGGGGAAACCCAGUGCAAUUCGUUGCACUAUCGUUAAGUGAAUACAUAGCUUAACGAGGCGAACCGGGGGAACUGAAACAUCUAAGUACCCCGAGGAAAAGAAAUCAACCGAGAUUCCCCCAGUAGCGGCGAGCGAACGGGGAGGAGCCCAGAACCUGAAUCAGUUCUUGUGUUAGUGGAAGCGUCUGGAAAGUCGCGCAGUAAAGGGUGAUAGCCCCGUACACUAAAAUGCAUUNNNNNNNNNNNNNNNNNNNNNNNNNNNNNNUAGUUGCAAGGUAUAGACCCGAAACCCGGUGAUCUAGCCAUGGGCAGGUUGAAGGUUGGGUAACACUAACUGGAGGACCGAACCGACUAAUGUUGAAAAAUUAGCGGAUGACUUGUGGCUGGGGGUGAAAGGCCAAUCAAACCGGGAGAUAGCUGGUUCUCCCCGAAAGCUAUUUAGGUAGCGCCUCGUGAACUCAUCUUCGGGGGUAGAGCACUGUUUCGGCUAGGGGGCCAUCCCGGCUUACCAAACCGAUGCAAACUCCGAAUACCGAAGAAUGUUAUCACGGGAGACACACGGCGGGUGCUAACGUCCGUCGUGAAGAGGGAAACAACCCAGACCGCCAGCUAAGGUCCCAAAGUCAUGGUUAAGUGGGAAACGAUGUGGGAAGGCAUAGACAGCCAGGAUGUUGGCUUAGAAGCAGCCAUCAUUUAAAGAAAGCGUAAUAGCUCACUGGUCGAGUCGGCCUGCGCGGAAGAUGUAACGGGGCUAAACCAUGCACCGAAGCUGCGGCAGCGACGCUUAGGCGUUGUUGGGUAGGGGAGCGUUCUGUAAGCCGUUGAAGGUGGCCUGUGAGGGUUGCUGGAGGUAUCAGAAGUGCGAAUGCUGACAUAAGUAACGAUAAAGCGGGUGAAAAGCCCGCUCGCCGGAAGACCAAGGGUUCCUGUCCAACGUUAAUCGGGGCAGGGUGAGUCGACCCCUAAGGCGAGGCCGAAAGGCGUAGUCGAUGGGAAACAGGUUAAUAUUCCUGUACUCGGUGUUACUGCGAAGGGGGGACGGAGAAGGCUAGGCUAGCCGGGCGACGGUUGUCCCGGUUUAAGCGUGUAGGGGGAGUGACCCGGUAAAUCCGGUUGCUUAUUCAACCCUGAGGCGUGAUGACGAUGCACCACGGUGCAGAAGUAGUUGAUGCCAAGCUUCCAGGAAAAGCCUCUAAGCAUCAGGUAACACAGAAUCGUACCCCAAACCGACACAGGUGGUCAGGUAGAGAAUACCAAGGCGCUUGAGAGAACUCGGGUGAAGGAACUAGGCAAAAUGGUGCCGUAACUUCGGGAGAAGGCACGCUGGCGCGUAGGUGAAGUCCCUUGCGGAUGGAGCUGAAGCCAGUCGCAGAUACCAGCUGGCUGCAACUGUUUAAUAAAAACACAGCACUGUGCAAACACGAAAGUGGACGUAUACGGUGUGACGCCUGCCCGGUGCUGGAAGGUUAAUUGAUGGGGUCAGCCGCAAGGCGAAGCUCUUGAUCGAAGCCCCAGUAAACGGCGGCCGUAACUAUAACGGUCCUAAGGUAGCGAAAUUCCUUGUCGGGUAAGUUCCGACCUGCACGAAUGGCGUAAUGAUGGCCAGGCUGUCUCCACCCGAGACUCAGUGAAAUUGAACUCGCUGUGAAGAUGCAGUGUACCCGCGGCAAGACGGAAAGACCCCGUGAACCUUUACUAUAGCUUGACACUGAACAUUGAGCCUUGAUGUGUAGGAUAGGUGGGAGGCUUUGAAGCGUGGACGCCAGUCUGCGUGGAGCCAACCUUGAAAUACCACCCUUUAAUGUUUGAUGUUCUAACUCGGCCCCNGGGGUGAGGACAGUGUCUGGUGGGUAGUUUGACUGGGGCGGUCUCCUCCCAAAGAGUAACGGAGGAGCACGAAGGUUAGCUAAUCACGGUCGGACAUCGUGAGGUUAGUGCAAAGGCAUAAGCUAGCUUGACUGCGAGAGUGACGGCUCGAGCAGGUACGAAAGUAGGUCUUAGUGAUCCGGUGGUUCUGAAUGGAAGGGCCAUCGCUCAACGGAUAAAAGGUACUCCGGGGAUAACAGGCUGAUACCGCCCAAGAGUUCAUAUCGACGGCGGUGUUUGGCACCUCGAUGUCGGCUCAUCACAUCCUGGGGCUGAAGUAGGUCCCAAGGGUAUGGCUGUUCGCCAUUUAAAGUGGUACGCGAGCUGGGUUUAGAACGUCGUGAGACAGUUCGGUCCCUAUCUGCCGUGGGCGUUGGAAGAUUGAGAGGGGUUGCUCCUAGUACGAGAGGACCGGAGUGAACGCACCACUGGUGUUCGGGUUGUCAUGCCAAUGGCACUGCCCGGUAGCUAAGUGCGGAAAAGAUAAGCGCUGAAAGCAUCUAAGCGCGAAACUUGCCUCGAGAUGAGUCUUCCCUGGGCCUUUAAGGCCCCUGAAGGAACGUUUAAGACUAAGACGUUGAUAGGCUGGGUGUGUAAGUGCAGCGAUGCAUUGAGCUAACCAGUACUAAUGAUCCGUGAGGCUUAACCUU